AAAAGUCGAGAAUCCGGCUUUCAUCGCUGUCGGGGAUAUUUUCCAGUCCCUUGACGAACCGAAGAAAGGCGGGAGAAAGUAGAGCCGCAGGGAAUGCGGGUGCUUUUCCCUUUGGAAUAUGACGAAGAGUGCGUACUAACUCCUUAGUUUUUGUGAUAGUUUUCUUUUGCUUGCUGCCUUUUUCCUUCGCCGUGUUUUUACGUUGUAAGGUUUGAUGGAAACUUCUUUCGAAUGAGAAAUGCCUGAGAUGCGUCUUCAAAAAACGUUGAAUUCCAGAUGCUGCAAAUCGCAAAACCCAUCUCGGAGGUUAUGCUAGUGCAGCUGAAACCGAGAAUCAUUUAUAUUUCCAGUAAAGCAACCGGAACAGUAGCCCUCCGGUAAUGUUUCACCAACUGAAUGUUAAUGCUUAUUGUCAAGGCAAAGUAAAAACCGUGUCACAUAUAUUUCAGCCAAGAAAGAAGAAAAAUGAAUUAUGAUGGAGUUCUUCAUAUAAUUGAGCUUUUCUCCAAGGUGACAGAGUAUCAAGUCAGCAUGCAGAAAUGCCCAGAGUAUAUCUGCGUGCCACAAACGGUCACAUUUCGUGCAUCAGUCCUCGGGGCAUUUGGUAAAAACGCUCUUGAAAAGGAAGGAAAAAAACUAUUCAAAUCGAGUUUUUUACGAGCUUGGUGACAUUAAGUUAAGUGUAUAAAAAUAAAACCAUGUUGACAACAAAUUGUAAAUUUUAUUUAAAA